UACGGAGGGUGCAAGCGUUGUCCGGAAUCACUGGGCGUAAAGGGCGCGUAGGCGGCUCAUGAAGUCUGUGGUGAAAGUCCGGGGCUCAACCUCGGAUCGGCCGUGGCGACUCGUGGGCUGGAGCACUGUAGAGGCGGGUGGAAUUUCGGGUGUAGCGGUGGAAUGCGUAGAGAUCCGGAAGAACACCAGUGGCGAAGGCGGCCCGCUGGGCAGUGGCUGACGCUGAGGCGCGACAGCGUGGGGAGCAAACAGG
rnacentral:rRNA from 1 species